rnacentral:lncRNA from 1 species
AGAUAGAAGCCGGUAACUAACCUAGUGCAUCCAGUAUAAGUAUAAGAAUAGCACAUAGGGAGUCGAAGUCAGAAAUAGAAUAGGGCCAUAAUACAUAACUUGCUAGGGCAUUUAUAGAAUUCUAAAGGAGAAUAGGGUAACAAGUAAUACUAAUAAGUAUCUGUUUCAGGACACUUCGCAUCAAAGGCCUAACGCCGAAACGGGAUUUGAGUUAGAGGAUUGCCAACUGACUGACGCCUUAGCUGAUACUUAAUUAGGCGGCUACCAUGGAGCUUACCUUGAGCCUCUGAUUCCUCACCUGCUCUU